rnacentral:rRNA from 1 species
AUUGAACGCUGGCGGCAGGCCUAACACAUGCAAGUCGAACGAGUGGCGGACGGGUGAGUAAUGUCUGGGAAACUGCCUGAUGGAGGGGGAUAACUACUGGAAAAGGUAGCUAAUACCGCAUACCAUCAGAUGUACCCACAUGGGAUUAGCUAGUUGGUGGGGUAAAGGCUCACCCAGGCGACGAUCCCUAGCUGGUCUAAGAGGAUGACCAGCCACACUGGAACUGAGACACGUGCCAGACUCCUACGGGAGGCAGCAGUGGGGAAAAGUGAACAAUGGGCGCAAGCCUGAUGCAGCCAUGCCGCGUGUAUGAAGAAGGCCUUCGGGUUGUAAAGUACUUUCAGCGGGGAGGCGUUACCCGCAGAAGAAGCACCGGCUAACUCCGUGCCAGCAGCCGCGGUAAUUC